UUUUCCACCUAGGCUCACAUAUUACAUGGUCAAGAUACAGCUAUUUCUUAAACUGCAACAAUUCUGGAGAGCAUGACCGAAUGCGGUGAGACUGAAAGUGAGACGAGGGUCACAACAAAGUCUUCCCAAUAAUUCUAAAAAUAUACUCCUCCCAUAUUCAUGAAUGAUGUUGCUGAGUUCAGAUGAAAGUACAAGCAGCCAUCAUCUUCAACGAUGGGUUGCAGAACUAAAGCCUUUCAAGCAAGACGAUAAGAAAAGCCAUCUCGAAAAUAAAAUUAUUUUAAGAACAGCUUCAAAAGUUGAACAGCAAAGAGUACAUGAAAAUAUCAGAUUUUGACAAUAUGGUUCCAAGAAAAUUGGUGCUUCAACAAAAAUCAAAGUAAUAACACAAAAAAUAAACUCGAGCCAUUCUAAUGUCAAACAAAGCCUUAAACCAAUAGGAACGGACCAGAUGCAAACCAACAUGUUGGUGAAGGUGCAAGGUAAAUUUAAAAAUGUAACAGGGGAAAUGGAAUGGUCGUUUUGAAAACGGAUACACGGUGGGAGGGUUGUUUUGUAAAAUCAUCAUGACGGCUUGCAUGGUUUGCACCUGAUCCAUUCCCAA
rnacentral:lncRNA from 7 species